UUACGAUAUAAAAUGAUAAGGAAGCCAAGACACAGCUUUCGGAAAAGCUGAAAGCCUCUUUGAUGUUGGAAGCACAUCCUGUCAUGUAGAGUACACUAAAUGAGAUGAUGGCUGAAGACGACUUUACGAACAGGAUAAUUGGUGCAGCAGACAGAUGGAAGGAGGAAGGGGGCCUGGCACCGUACCUACAAGUGCAAGAGCACCUUCCUUGAUGAAGCUGCUGUUCUGCACUCUAGAAUCCCUCAUUCCAUUCGCUCAAUCUAAGCAAACGUCAUCUGGGGCUAUAGGCAUUCAGACAACUGUCCUAUUUGGAGGAUACCAGUUAUAGUGGAAGGAGGGCACGGCUGUCUCGAGUGUCGGUAACAGUGGAAAUGGAGAGAAGCAGAUGACUCUGAGGGCCAUUUAAAGCAGUAGACUACACUAAGGUGCUUGGUUCUUCCGGGGAAGCUGAGGCCACGCUGGGGUGAGGCCCUCACUUCAUCUGGCGACUACACUGUGCCCAGCCACACCCGCUUAGCACUUGCCCACCCUUCUCGGAGCUCGCCUGCAUCUAUGUGGCCCUGAGCCUGCUCCAGGAGGAGGUGACAGUCACGGAAGAUAAGAUCAAUGCCCUCAAUAAAGCAGCGGGUGUAAG